AGCUUAGUGGUUAAAGCAUCUGACUUUCAACCAGUAAGUUAUGGGUUCGAACCCCGC
rnacentral:tRNA from 1 species